GUGGGGCACGAUGGCUCGUGCCUGUAGUCCCAGCUACUCGAGGCUGAGGUGGGAGGAUUGCUUGAGCCCAGGAGUUCUGGGCUGCAGUGCGCUAUGCCCACCGGGUGUCCGCACUAAGUUCGGCAUCAAUAUGGUGACCUCCCGGGAGCGGGGACCACCAGAUUGCCUAAGGAGGGGUGAACCGGCCCAGGUCGGGAACGGGGCAGGUCAAAACUCCUGUGCUGAUCAGUAGUGGGAUAGCGCCUGUGAAUAGCCACUGCACUCCAGCCUGGGCAACAUAGCGAGAGACCCUGUCUCUU
ensembl:misc_RNA Metazoa_SRP Metazoan signal recognition particle RNA